rnacentral:rRNA from 1 species
AUUGAACGCUGGCGGCAGGCCUAACACAUGCAAGUCGAGCGGAUGAAGGGAGCUUGCUCCUGGAUUCAGCGGCGGACGGGUGAGUAAUGCCUAGGAAUCUGCCUGGUAGUGGGGGAUAACGUCCGGAAACGGGCGCUAAUACCGCAUACGUCCUGAGGGAGAAAGUGGGGGUUCUUCGGACCUCACGCUAUCAGAUGAGCCUAGGUCGGAUUAGCUAGUUGGUGGGGUAAAGGCCUACCAAGGCGACGAUCCGUAACUGGUCUGAGAGGAUGAUCAGUCACACUGGAACUGAGACACGGUCCAGACUCCUACGGGAGGCAGCAGUGGGGAAUAUUGGACAAUGGGCGAAAGCCUGAUCCAGCCAUGCCGCGUGUGUGAAGAAGGUCUUCGGAUUGUAAAGCACUUUAAGUUGGGAGGAAGGGCAGUAAGUUAAUAACUUGCUGUUUUGACGUUACCAACAGAAUAAGCACCGGCUAACUUCGUG